AUGCCGCCUCGACACGCCGACGAUGUAGGAAUUCCAGUUGCAAGUCCAACCACGGCCACUUUAGCAGCUCCCGCAACUCCAACUUCGGCCGGUUCACCAGCUCCCUCCGCCACCUGAAACGGCGGCCAGGAAUCACCUGAAUCGACGUAGGAGAUGGAGCUGCAGAGCUUGUUAAGACAGCGGCUUUAUCGUUCAUUGCCACCGCCGUGGCAAUCAUUUAGAACAUUUUAGUCGACCUUAAUUAAUACAAUUAUUCAAUAAUAUUGAUCUGUAUGCUCAAAUUAACCUUUGUUUCAGAGUUAGAGCUCUGUAAAUUUGGUUUAUUUAACUUCUCGAAUUGGCACA